rnacentral:rRNA from 1 species
CUCUUUCAGGGUCCGAGUUGUAAUUUGUAGAGGAUGUUUCGGGCACGGUUACGGUUUAAAUUUCUUGGAACAGAAUGUCAAAGAGGGUGAGAGUCCCGUCUUGAACCGAUUACUUCGUCCAUGUGAAACUCCUUCGACGAGUCGAGUUGUUUGGGAAUGCAGCUCAAAAUGGGUGGUAAAUUUCAUCUAAAGCUAAAUAUUGGCCAGAGACCGAUAGCGCACAAGUAGAGUGAUCGAAAGAUGAAAAGCACUUUGAAAAGAGAGUUAAACAGUAUGUGAAAUUGUUGAAAGGGAAGCGCUUGCAAUCAGACUUGAGCUUAACGGUUCCCCCUUCGUUCUCGAUGGGUUAUUCCGUUUUGUCCAGGCCAACAUCAGUUCGGGUGGUUAGUUAAAGACUUUAGGAAUGUAUCUACCCUCCGGGGUCGACUUAUAGCCUAGAGUGUCAUGUAGCCUACCUGGACUGAGGAACGCGCUUCGGCUCGGAUGUUGGCGUAAUGGUUGUAAGCGACCCGUCUUGAAACACGGACCAAGGAGUCUAACAUCUAUGCGAGUUUUAGAGUUUCAAACUCUGAGGCGUAAUGAAAGUGAACGGAGGUAAGAAGCCUUUAGGCUGCAUUAUCGACCGAUCUUGAUGUCUUCGGAUGGAUUUGAGUAAGAGCAUAGCUGUUGGGACCCGAAAGAUGGUGAACUAUGCCUGAAUAGGGUGAAGCCAGAGGAAACUCUGGUGGAGGCUCGCAGCGGUUCUGACGUGCAAAUCGAUCGUCAAAUUUGGGUAU